rnacentral:rRNA from 1 species
UACGGGGGGGGCAAGCGUUGUUCGGAAUUACUGGGCGUAAAGGGCUCGUAGGCGGCCAACUAAGUCGGAUGUGAAAUCCCCAGGCUUAACCUGGGAACUGCAUCCGAUACUGGAUGGCUUGAAUCCGGGAGAGGGAUGCAGAAUUCCAGGUGUAGCGGUGAAAUGCGUAGAUAUCUGGAGGAAUACCGGUGGCGAAGGCGGCUCACUGGCUCAUUACUGACGCUCAGGCGCGACAGCGUGGGGAUCAAACAGG